GGGCCCGCACAAGCGGUGGAGCAUGUGGUUCAAUUCGACGCAACGCGAAGAACCUUACCUGGGCUCGAAAUGUAGUGGACCGGGGUGGAAACAUCCCUUCCCGCAAGGGCUGCUAUAUAGGUGCUGCAUGGCUGUCGUCAGCUCGUGUCGUGAGAUGUUGGGUUAAGUCCCGCAACGAGCGCAACCCUUAUUGCCAGUUGCCAUCAUUUAGUUGGGCACUCUGGCGAAACUGCCCCGGAUAACGGGGAGGAAGGUGGGGAUGACGUCAAGUCCUCAUGGCCUUUAUGUCCAGGGCUACACACGUGCUACAAUGGGUGGUACAAACCGUCGCAAACCCGCGAGGGGGAGCUAAUCGGAAAAAGCCAUCCUCAGUUCGGAUUGGAGUCUGCAACUCGACUCCAUGAAGCUGGAAUCGCUAGUAAUCGCGGAUCAGAACGCCGCGGUGAAUACGUUCCCGGGCCUU
rnacentral:rRNA from 1 species